CAGGCUUAACACAUGCAAGUCGAGGGGCAGCAUGGUCUUAGCUUGCUAAGGCCGAUGGCGACCGGCGCACGGGUGAGUAACACGUAUCCAACCUGCCGUCUACUCUUGGACAGCCUUCUGAAAGGAAGAUUAAUACAAGAUGGCAUCAUGAGUCCGCAUGUUCACAUGAUUAAAGGUAUUCCGGUAGACGAUGGGGAUGCGUUCCAUUAGAUAGUAGGCGGGGUAACGGCCCACCUAGUCUUCGAUGGAUAGGGGUUCUGAGAGGAAGGUCCCCCACAUUGGAACUGAGACACGGUCCAAACUCCUACGGGAGGCAGCAGUGAGGAAUAUCGGUCAAUGGGCGAGAGCCUGAACCAGCCAAGUAGCGUGAAGGAUGACUGCCCUAUGGGUUGUAAACUUCUUUUAUAAAGGAAUAAAGUCGGGUAUGGAUACCCGUUUGCAUGUACUUUAUGAAUAAGGAUCGGCUAACUCCGUGCCAGCAGCCGCGGUAAUACGGAGGAUCCGAGCGUUAUCCGGAUUUAUUGGGUUUAAAGGGAGCGUAGAUGGAUGUUUAAGUCAGUUGUGAAAGUUUGCGGCUCAACCGUAAAAUUGCAGUUGAUACUGGAUAUCUUGAGUGCAGUUGAGGCAGGCGGAAUUCGUGGUGUAGCGGUGAAAUGCUUAGAUAUCACGAAGAACUCCGAUUGCGAAGGCAGCCUGCUAAGCUGCAACUGACAUUGAGGCUCGAAAGUGUGGGUAUCAAACAGGAUUAGAUACCCUGGUAGUCCACACGGUAAACGAUGAAUACUCGCUGUUUGCGAUAUACUGCAAGCGGCCAAGCGAAAGCGUUAAGUAUUCCACCUGGGGAGUACGCCGGCAACGGUGAAACUCAAAGGAAUUGACGGGGGCCCGCACAAGCGGAGGAACAUGUGGUUUAAUUCGAUGAUACGCGAGGAACCUUACCCGGGCUUAAAUUGCAGAUGAAUUACGGUGAAAGCCGUAAGCCGCAAGGCAUCUGUGAAGGUGCUGCAUGGUUGUCGUCAGCUCGUGCCGUGAGGUGUCGGCUUAAGUGCCAUAACGAGCGCAACCCUUGUUGUCAGUUACUAACAGGUUCCGCUGAGGACUCUGACAAGACUGCCAUCGUAAGAUGUGAGGAAGGUGGGGAUGACGUCAAAUCAGCACGGCCCUUACGUCCGGGGCUACACACGUGUUACAAUGGGGGGUACAGAGGGCCGCUACCACGCGAGUGGAUGCCAAUCCCCAAAACCUCUCUCAGUUCGGACUGGAGUCUGCAACCCGACUCCACGAAGCUGGAUUCGCUAGUAACCGCGCAUCAGCCACGGCGCGGUGAAUACGUUCCCGGGCCUUGUACACACCGCCCGUCAAGCCAUGGGAGCCGGGGGUACCUGAAGUGCGUAACCGCGAGGAGCGCCCUAGGGUAAAACUGGUG
rnacentral:rRNA from 1 species